rnacentral:rRNA from 1 species
GACAGAGGAUGCAAGCGUUAUCCGGAAUGAUUGGGCGUAAAGCGUCUGUAGGUGGCUUUUUAAGUCCGCCGUCAAAUCCCAGGGCUCAACCCUGGACAGGCGGUGGAAACUACCAAGCUGGAGUACGGUAGGGGCAGAGGGAAUUUCCGGUGGAGCGGUGAAAUGCGUAGAGAUUUGGAGGAACACCAGUGGCGAAGGCGACUUUCUGGUCUGUAACUGACACUGAGGCGCGAAAGCGUGGGGAGCAAACAGG